UGUGUCAGCAGCCGCGGUAAUACGUAGGUGGCGAGCGUUGUCCGGAUUUACUGGGCGUAAAGGAUGCGUAGGCGGAUAUUUAAGUGAGAUGUGAAAUACCCGAGCUUAACUUGGGUGCUGCAUUUCAAACUGGAUAUCUAGAGUGUGGGAGAGGAGAAUGGAAUUCCUAGUGUAGCGGUGAAAUGCGUAGAGAUUAGGAAGAACACCAGUGGCGAAGGCGAUUCUCUGGACCAUAACUGACGCUGAGGCAUGAAAGCGUGGGUAGCAAACAGGAUUAGAUACCCUGGUAGUCCACGCCGUAAACGAUGAGUACUAGGUGUAGGAGGGUCCAACCUUCUGUGCCGCAGUUAACACAAUAAGUACUCCGCCUGGGAAGUACGAUCGCAAGAUUAAAACUCAAAGGAAUUGACGGGGGCCCGCACAAGCAGCGGAGCAUGUGGUUUAAUUCGAAGCAACGCGAAGAACCUUACCUGGACUUGACAUCCCCUGAAUAGUGCAGAGAUGCAUGAAGCCCUUCGGGGCAGGGAGACAGGUGGUGCAUGGUUGUCGUCAGCUCGUGUCGUGAGAUGUUAGGUUAAGUCCUGCAACGAGCGCAACCCUUAUCAUUAGUUGCUACCAUUAAGUUGAGCACUCUAGUGAGACUGCCCGGGUUAACCGGGAGGAAGGUGGGGAUGACGUCAAAUCAUCAUGCCCCUUAUGUCCAGGGCUACACACGUGCUACAAUGGUGAGUACAGAGAGAUGCAAGACCGCGAGGUGGAGCCAAACUCAAAAACUCAUCCCAGUUCGGAUUGUAGGCUGCAACUCGCCUACAUGAAGCCGGAGUUGCUAGUAAUCGCGAAUCAGAAUGUCGCGGUGAAUACGUUCCCGGGCCUUGUACACACCGCCCGUCACACCAUGAGAGCUGGCAACACCCGAAGUCCGUGAGGUAACCUGUAAAGGAGCCAGCGGCCGAAGGUGGGGUUAGUGAUUGGGGUGA
rnacentral:rRNA from 1 species